rnacentral:rRNA from 1 species
GACGAACGCUGGCGGCGUGCUUAACACAUGCAAGUCGAACGGAAAGGCCCUGCUUUUGCUGGUUGCUCGAUUGGCGAACGGGUGAGUAACACGCGAGUAACCUGCCCCUGACUUUGGGAUAACUUCAGGAAACUGGGGCUAAUACCCGAUAGGAGCUCCUGCUGCACGGUGGUGGUUGGAAAGUUUCGGCGGUUGGGGAUGGACUCGCGGCUUAUCAGCUUGUUGGUGUGGUAGUGGCUUACGAAGGCUUAGACGGGUAGCCGGCCUGAGAGGGUGACCGGGGACAUGGGGACUAAGGUAGGGACCAGAAGGCAACGGGAGGCAGCAGGCGGAAGUAUUGCAGAAUGGGCGGAAGUCUGAUGUAGAAGCGCCGGGUGCGGGAUGACGGGCUUCGGGUUAUAAACCAAUUUCGAAUGUAAUGAAGACGGAGUGACGGUAAUUGAUAAGAAAGCACCGGCUAACUACGUG